rnacentral:rRNA from 1 species
UACGAAGGGGACUAGCGUUGUUCGGAAUCACUGGGCGUAAAGCGCACGUAGGCGGAUUCGUAAGUCAGGGGUGAAAUCCCGGAGCUCAACUCCGGAACUGCCUCUGAUACAGCACGUCUUGAGUUCGAGAGAGGUGGGUGGAAUUCCUAGUGUAGAGGUGAAAUUCGUAGAUAUUAGGAAGAACACCGGUGGCGAAGGCGGCCCACUGGCUCGAUACUGACGCUGAGGUGCGAAAGCGUGGGGAGCAAACAGG